GAGUCCAGCCUCUCUGGCCUGGGAGCAGGGGGCCUUCCUUUCCUAGGGGGCCCCAGGCUGCUGUGCCCCUUCCCCGGGAGCUGGCUGCUCCCCACCCCGAUCCUGUCUCCUCCUCCGGAGGGACUGACUCCUGCCCAGACGCCCACUGCCUGCCAGGCCUGCUGGGAGCGCACAGGCCUGACCCCGCCCCCGCCCUCAAAGCUUCCUCUCGAUUCUGGGCCGCCUGCCUGGAAGAAACUGAGGGCAGAGGGGCUCAGGGACGCCUCCUCGCUGGCCCCGCCCCUGAGGGCUGCAGGCUUUCUCCAGGGGUCUCCCUGGGGCUGCCAGGCCUGGAGUCAUAGGAUGGGGGGAGGCUGGCGGGGGUCCCAGCCGGAGGCCUGGCUGGGAGGGGGACCAGGGCCCCUCCUAGCGCUCCCUCCUGACACCCCGCACAGUGCUCCGCAGCCCACACCCAGGCGGGGAGGAGCCCUGGGGCCCAGAGGGGUUGGAGGGCUGCCUAGGAGGCCCUCACUGCCCGGGGAGGCCGCGGGCUGGGCCCUCGGCCCCUGCAGCUCCGCCUCAGGCUGCUCUGCCGGCAGCGUCUACAUUCAGAAGGAAGGAGACCAAAAAUGAGAGGCGGAGCCACACAUCCCCUGAGGUGGAGGACCCCACCUGAGCCUGGAAAACAGCUCCUCCGGCAGAGCCCUGUGUUCGCCACUCAGCCUGAGUAGCAGUUUCCUCACCUUCCCUGUGAGCCACUGGAGGCCUGGCCCCUGUCUGCCUCUCUAAGCUGUGUCCCAGUGUCAGGGCAGUGAUCAGGGCUCCCCACUGGACGGACAGAUGGAGGACCCCACCCAGCACCCAGCACCCAGCUGUAUCAGCCCACUCACGUUCACCCGCUCCUGUUCUGACACUCACCCAAGAGGCAAGGAAGCGGAGGCCCGAGGGGAAGGCCUUGCCCAGGGCCCAGGCUGCAUCUGAUGUCCCCGCGCCUGAGCGCUUCGCCUUCCUGCCUCCUUGCGGCACACGGAGGGCUCCUUCUUCCUUAAACAGCACAAGGACUGCAUUUGUGGCUGCAUUGGUAUGGAGACGAGUAUAAUAAUCAUAUAUAUGAAAACAUUUUCUUUACCCUAACGUGAAGAAGAAAAUUCUCUGAUUUUAAACAAUAUUGAAAUAUUUUAUGGGGCCCUGAAAGUUCUGUGGCCUCAGGUACUAUGUUCACUCUGUCUCAAGAGAGUCAGCCUGGCAGGGUCCUUGCAUCCCAAGCUGACCUACUGGGCUUUGAACUGGGGUCUUCUGUAACACCCCCCACACCGCCCCCCAGUACCUCCACCACUCCCCGCGGCUGCCACUCUGGGGAAGGACCGCGUGAACUGUUGCUGAUUUUUGGCCUUUCUUAAUAGCCAUCCUGUGGCUCUGGACAUCUUGUUUCUGACUGCUUAUAACAACAAUAAUAAAGAAUAACAAGA